rnacentral:rRNA from 1 species
ACCAGACUCCUACGGGAGGCAGCAGUGGGGAAUAUUGCACAAUGGGGGGAACCCUGAUGCAGCGACGCCGCGUGGGUGAAGGAGCACCUCGGUAUGUAAAGCUCUAUCAGCGGGGAAGAAGGAAGACGGUACCCGACUAAGAAGCCCCGGCUAACUACGUGCCAGCAGCCGCGGUAAUACGUAGGGGGCGAGCGUUAUCCGGAUUUACUGGGUGUAAAGGGAGCGCAGGCGGCACGGCAAGCCUGAUGUGAAAGCCCGCGGCCCAACCGCGGGACUGCAUUGGGAACUACCGGGCUGGAGUGCCGGAGAGGUAGGCGGAAUUCCUAGUGUAGCGGUGAAAUGCGUAGAUAUUAGGAGGAACACCAGUGGCGAAGGCGGCCUACUGGACGGUGACUGACGCUGAGGCUCGAAAGCGUGGGGAGCAAACAGGAUUAGAUACCCUGGUA